CGCGUAGGCGGACCUUCAAGUCGGGUGUGAAAACCGGCGGCUUAACUGCCGGCCUGCAUUCGAUACUGUUGGUCUUGAGUACAUGAGAGGAAAGCGGAAUUCCAGGUGUAGCGGUGAAAUGCGUAGAUAUCUGGAAGAACACCAGUAGCGAAGGCGGCUUUCUGGCGUGAUACUGACGCUCAAGCGCGAAGGCUAGGGGAGCAAACGA
rnacentral:rRNA from 1 species